rnacentral:lncRNA from 1 species
GGGGGACAUAAAGGGAAACCCACACACCCAAGGAGGAGGGCUCUGGCCAUGCAAGGCUGAAGGCCCAGUGUACUGAUAUGAAAACUGAAGCUCAGACAGAAGAGGCGACGUUGCUUUCUUAACCACUGGAUUUGCAGUGCUGUGGUUCUCAGAAGAGGCCAGGACAGGUUAAUCCACUCACUUGGGAGGCAGAAGGAAAUCUUUCCAUAUCACCCAGGCUGAUCUUCAACGAACUGGACUCAAGUAUUCCUCCCACCUCGGCCUCCAGGGGGGACUGUUUGACGCCAGAGUGGAGACGGUCAGGCAGCCACUCGGGCCUUGGAAGCAAAGUCAAAAAUCUCUCCCAAAUCCUCUCUCCCUGCUCCUGUUGAUUGGGUGCCCUCACCUUGCUGCACAGCGGUUAUGAUGGACUGUCCCAUGACUGCUUUCCUGGUUUGAAAACUUGGACUCUUGAAUCAAAUGAAUUCCACUUCAUAUGCUUUUAUUUUGCAGAAACAUUUCAAGUUAACUUCUCAAGGAAAAUCCUUCUGAAAUGUAAAAUUACUGAAUUCCUCCUUGUUGAAUGUACAGCUGGUAUAAAAAUGGUGCUUUGUCGUCAUGAAGAAGGUGUAUUCUGGGAUCAAACCACCUGGCUGGAGAUGCUUACUAACCUCAGUUUCUUCAUCUGACCUUACCUUUCUAAAAGAAUAAGAAGAAGAUGAUACAUAUUCCUCUAAAGUCCCAACAGGAACCUUUUCCCCUCACUCCCUCCCCAGAGAUGUGUAUCAUUUCCAUGAGUGUCUGUACUUUUACAACAUGUGCAUAUUAAUAAACAAAAUAUGACAAAUUAUUUUGUCUUAAUAUUUGCAUAAAUCUAGCCAUACUCUACACCACUUUUGCAACUUUCACUAUUAUAUAUUUUGAAGAUUAUCCGUGUUUAUGCACAUAAGUUUAUCAUUUUAACUGUUGAAUAGUGUUUCAUUAUAUGAAUUAACCAUAAUUCAUCUAUUUCCCUGAGUGACAAUUAGGUUUCUUUUUGUUUUUAUGCUCUGAUGAACAAUCUUGCAAUUAUUAUCUUUGUAUAUGUCUUCAUGUAUAAGAAAUUCUCCAGGGUAGACACUUAGAAGUAAAGGGUCUGACUCAGAGAGUCUGUGUAUUUUAAAAUGUAUUGGUUAUUGUCAAAUUGUUCCUCAAAGUAGAUGUACCAAUUUACAUUCCUACAGUGGUAUAUAACAGUUUUUUUUUCUCCACAUCCUCUUCAACACUCGUCAUUACCAG